GGGGGUAUAGCUCAGCUGGGAGAGCGCCUGCUUUGCACGCAGGAGGUCAGCGGUUCGAUCCCGCUUAUCUCCA
rfam:Dolosigranulum pigrum ATCC 51524 genomic scaffold supercont1.1, whole genome shotgun sequence.